rnacentral:lncRNA from 1 species
GGGAGUGCUUAACUUUGGAGUUGAAAUGGGCUUGGAGAAGGCCUUCCAGAAGUAAUGUUUGAGCUGGGUUGUAAAGGAUGAUAGAGUUCACCAGAAAUCUGUAUGAAAGGAUUGUCCUAGAGAAAAAAAAAAACCGCAGAUGCCUUGCAAAUGUUUCAUUACAGCUGCUAUUGAGUCAAGCGUGAGGCACUGUGAUGAGAGAAGUGCAGGAGAGGAUGACCCAACUCAAGAGACAGAAGCAACUGAACUGUGUCUGUACCUGAGCAGUUACGGCAGUGAGAGUCACGGCCAACUUCCUCUGUGGGGCCUGUACCCUGCAAACAGGGUUCUGUGGAAGUGGUGGAGGCUUCAGAGAGGGGAUAGAGUCAGCCUCUGCCUUCAGGAAGCAACAUCACUCACCAGCCCUUUCACCCACUAGACUGUUAAUGGAGGUUUUAAAUAGAAAAUGAUGUGAUCUUCUUUCUUGAAUGAUUAUACUGCUAAAGUUUCUAAAUAUAAACUUAAACUAUGAUACCUCCUACAUACACACACACGGUCCUUAUGUCAGAGUGGUGACUGUCCACCUGUCACGGCUUUUUCACAUCUUUUUAUUUUGAAAAAUUUCAAAGAUAGAAAAGUUGCAAGUAGUACAAUGAACACCAUAUGUCACCAGAUGUUCACGCAGAUUUAUCAAUUAAAUUUUACUGCAUUUGCAUUCUAUUUUUUAAAAAUCAUUUGCUGAACCAUUUAAGAGUUAACUAUAGACACUGUGACACUUCAUCCAAAAAUACUUCGGUGUGUAUCUCCUAAGAAUAAAAAUAUUCAUCCUAUGUAACUAUAAAAUAAGUAUCUCGGCCGGGCGCGGUGGCUCACGCCUGUAAUCCCAGCACUUUGGGAGGCCGAGGCGGGUGGAUCACCUGAGGUCAGGAGUUUGAGGCCAGCCUGACCAACAUGGAGAAACCCCAUCUCUACUAAAAAUACAAAAAAAGCAGCCGGAUGUGGUGGUGCAUGCCUGUAAUCCCAGCUACUCGGGAGGCAGAGGCAGGAGAAUCACUUGAACCCAGGAGGCGGAGGUUGUGGUGAGCCGAGAUCAUGCCAUUGCACUCCGGCC